rnacentral:rRNA from 1 species
GACGAACGCUGGCGGCGUGCUUAACACAUGCAAGUCGAACGGAAAGGCCCUGCUUUUGUGGGGUGCUCGAGUGGCGAACGGGUGAGUAACACGUGAGUAACCUGCCCUUGACUUUGGGAUAACUUCAGGAAACUGGGGCUAAUACCGGAUAGGAGCUCCUGCUGCAUGGUGGGGGUUGGAAAGUUUCGGCGGUUGGGGAUGGACUCGCGGCUUAUCAGCUUGUUGGUGGGGUAGUGGCUUACGAAGGCUUUGACGGGUAGCCGGCCUGAGAGGGUGACCGGGCACAUUAGGACUGAGAGACGGACCAGACUCCUACGUGAGGCAGCAGGGGGAAAUAUUGCACAAUGGGCGGAAGCGUGAUACGGAAACGCCGCGUGCGGGAUGACGGCCUUCUGGUUGUAAACCGCUUUCGCCUGUGACGAAGCGUGAGUGACGGUAAUGAGUAAAGAAGCACCGGCUAACUACGUG